GAUGAACGCUGGCGGCGUGCCUAAUACAUGCAAGUCGAGCGAACGGACGAGAAGCUUGCUUCUCUGAUGUUAGCGGCGGACGGGUGAGUAACACGUGGAUAACCUACCUAUAGGACUGGGAUAACUUCGGGAAACCGUAGCUAAUACCGGAUAAUAUUUUGAACCGCAUGGUUCAAAAGUGAAAGACGGUCUUGCUGUCACUUAUAGAUGGAUCCGCGCUGCAUUAGCUAGUUGGUAAGGUAACGGCUUACCAAGGCAACGAUGCAUAGCCGACCUGAGAGGGUGAUCGGCCACACUGGAACUGAGACACGGUCCAGACUCCUACGGGAGGCAGCAGUAGGGAAUCUUCCGCAAUGGGCGAAAGCCUGACGGAGCAACGCCGCGUGAGUGAUGAAGGUCCUCGGAUCGUAAAACUCUGUUAUUAGGGAAGAACAUAUGUGUAAGUAACUGUGCACAUCUUGACGGUACCUAAUCAGAAAGCCACGGCUAACUACGUG
rnacentral:rRNA from 1 species